rnacentral:rRNA from 1 species
UAGCUUGAUCCUGGCUCAGAACGAACGCUGGCGGCGUGGAUAAGACAUGCAAGUCGAACGGGACAACAUUUGUAGCAAUACAGAUGUUGUUUAGUGGCGAACGGGUGCGUAACACGUGGGCAAUCUGCCGAGAAGUGGGGGAUAGCUCGCCGAAAGGCGAAUUAAUACCGCAUAUGAUCAGGGACGACCUCUUCCCAACAUCAAAGCCGGGGCAACCUGGCGCUUCUUGAUGAGCCCGCGGCCUAUCAGCUAGUUGGUGAGGUAACGGCUCACCAAGGCUUUGACGGGUAGCUGGUCUGAGAGGACGACCAGUCACACUGGAACUGAGACACGGUCCAGACACCUACGGGUGGCAGCAGUCGAGAAUUUUUCUCAAUGGGGGCAACCCUGAAGGAGCCACGCCGCGUGGAGGAUGAAGGCUUUCGGGUUGUAAACUCCUGUCAUUUGAGAACAAGUGUAGCUAAGUAACUACUGGCUACUUGAUAGUAUCAGAAGAGGAAGAGACGGCUAACUCUGUGCCAGCAGCCGCGGUAAUACAGAGGUCUCAAGCGUUGUUCGGAUUCAUUGCGCGUAAAGGGUGCGUAGGUGGCGGGGUAAGUCAGGUGUGAAAUUUCGGAGCUUAACUCCGAAACUGCAUUUGAUACUGCCUUGCUUGAGGACUGGAGAGGACACUGGGAUUCACGGUGUAGCAGUGAAAUGCGUAGAGAUC